UACGAAGGGGACUAGCGUUGUUCGGAAUUACUGGGCGUAAAGGGCGCGUAGGCGGGAUGGCAAGUCGGUCGUGAAAUCCCUCGGCUCAACCGAGGAACGUCGAUCGAUACUGCUGUUCUUGAGGAUUGCAGAGGAGACUGGAAUUCCCGGUGUAGCGGUGAAAUGUGUAGAGAUCGGGAGGAACACCGGUGGCGAAGGCGGGUCUCUGGGCGAAUUCC
rnacentral:rRNA from 1 species